rnacentral:rRNA from 1 species
UGGGGAAUAUUGGACAAUGGGCGAAAGCCUGAUCCAGCAACGCCGCGUGAGGGAUGACGGCCUUCGGGUUGUAAACCUCUUUCAGCAGGGACGAAGCGAGAGUGACGGUACCUGCAGAAGAAGGACCGGCCAACUACGUGCCAGCAGCCGCGGUAAUACGUAGGGUCCGAGCGUUGUCCGGAAUUAUUGGGCGUAAAGGGCUCGUAGGCGGUUUGUCGCGUCGGGAGUGAAAACUCAGGGCUCAACCCUGAGCGUGCUUCCGAUACGGGCAGACUAGAGGUAUGCAGGGGAGAACGGAAUUCCUGGUGUAGCGGUGGAAUGCGCAGAUAUCAGGAGGAACACCGGUGGCGAAGGCGGUUCUCUGGGCAUUACCUGACGCUGAGGAGCGAAAGCAUGGGGAGCGAACAGG